GGAAGUAAAAGUCGUAACAAGGUUUCCGUAGGUGAACCUGCGGAAGGAUCAUUAAAAAUGUGGUACGAUUUUGUACUAAUUAAUCAUCCUACCCUUGUGAAUUUGUUUGUAACAAUUUUUUAAAUGGUCUUUCCUAAGUUGGAUUGUAGUAAAAUACAAAAAGACUUAGGGAAUGACUUUUUAAAAGACUUUUUUUAAUUAAACUUUUUGUAUUCAUUUGUCUAAAAUUUAUUUUUAUAAUAUAAAAACAACUUUUGACAAUGGAUCUCUUGGUUCUCGCAACGAUGAAGAACGCAGCAAAUGCGAUAAGUAGUGUGAAUUGCAGAAUACGUGAAUCAUCGAAUCUCGAACGCAUAUUGCACUUUUUAGUUUACUAAAAAAGUAUGUCUGUUUGAGUAUCAGUAAAAUAUUCUCACAAACAUAUAUGUUUGUGGUUAUGAGUGUUUUACAACGAUAAACAAGUUGUUUCACUUUAAAUUCUUUUUAAUUGAAUUUUACCAAUUCAUAAAUAAAUUGGAUAAAUUUUCCUUUAACCGAGAAUAACCUAAACAAUUUUAAUUUAUGGAUUAAUAAACAUUCAUCAAAGGAAUCUAAUUAUACAUAAUAACUUGAUCUCAAAUCAGAUAAGAGUACCCGCUGAACUUAAGCAUAUCAAUAAGCGGAGGAAAGAAACUAACAAGGAUUCCUUAGUAACGGCGAGUGAAGCGGGAAGAGCUCAAAUUUGAAAUCUUCAAGGUUUGACCUUGACGAAUUGUAGUUUAUAGAAGUGUUUUCUGUUGGAGUUUUGGUAAAAGUUCUUUGGAAUAGGACAUCAUAGAGGUGAGAAUCCCGUAUUUGACCAUGACUUUCCAGCUGUGUGAUACACUUUCAAAGAGUCGGAUUGUUUGGGAGUGCAGUCCAAAAUGGGUGUAAAUUUCAUCUAAGCUAAAUAUUGGCGAGAGACCGAUAGCGAACAAGUACGUGAGGGAAAGAUGAAAGAACUUUGAAAAGAGAGUUAAACAGUACGUGAAUUGUCAAAGGGAAGCGUUUGACACCAGUGUUGUUUUCUCGAAAUCAAUUUAAUGAGUUCUUGUUUUUAAGUUAUUGUGACUUUAUCAGCGCAUUCUUAUUUUACUUGACUCAUUGAAUGCACUUUUCGUUUAACAGUCAACAUCAAUUCUUUGGUGGUAAAAAGUUUAAAGGAAGGUGGCUUGGACUUCGGUUCAAGUGUUAUAGCCUUUUUCUAUGCCAUCGGAGAGAUGAGUCUGCAGCGUAGAUCCUUCGGGUUAGAUACUUUGUGCUAAGUUAUAGUUUUUUAUAGACAACUUGUUGACUAUAAUUAACCCUGUAAUUUACUCGCUUAGGCUAUUUACCU
rnacentral:misc_RNA from 1 species